rnacentral:piRNA from 1 species
UGGCUCCAGCAACAGAUUAACCCAUUGGUGU